CUGGAAUGGGAGUGGACAGGUUUAUCGUAUGUGAUUCCAUCCAAAUGCCACCUGUAAAUAUAACCUCUCUCUAAAGAAACUAAAUGGAUUAUUAGAUUAUGUAUUGCAGUAAGAAUCCACCUUGAUCUGUAGUUUGGAGAAUGAUGUGGAUGGAAUUCUACAGCUUCACUAUCUUUCCUUUGACACCUUGAAGAACUCUUUAGAAAGCAGAAGGAGGAAUCAGAAUAGAAUGGGAUCCUUUUUCAGAAAGCUUGAAGUACAGGAAAUCAUGAUGCAGAAGAUGGCUGUCUCACUGACAACAUGCCAUCUCAGAAACAGGGGCUGGAAUGAACAUCAAAGAAGUGGGUUACGGAAUUUACUGGAUGCCAGAGAAGUACAAUAACAUACAGAGGAUAUAAGCAAAUCCCAGUGGCAAAAUCGGCUGCCAAAUCUUGCACAUAAUGGAGGCCCUAAAGUGACAGUCUAUCUUUGACAAGUGCAUAAUGAUAUCAAUGCCAAGGGAAGGAACUAGCAUGCUGAAAGGUGAAUAAAAGAGUUGGGAACAAUUCA
ensembl:lncRNA